rnacentral:tRNA from 1 species
AGUAAUGUGCUUAGCGGUAAAGUGCUUGCCUAGCAUGCAAGAAGCCCAGGGUUCGAUUCCUCAGUACCA